ACGGCCGAAUACUGAAACACUACUCAAAUCUGUCACUCAGCUGACGGGCUCCUAAAUUUAAGUAUCCUUCAAUUUUAAAUGGUAUUCUCAAACGCCACUUAACGGAUUUGAAGCCGUGAUCAGCUAAGCAGCUCUCAAAUGUUUACAUAAUGGCAACAUUUACCAAAAAAAGUAUGUUUUCAAUUACACAAAUGAUGACUUUAUGUUGCGUAUCCAUUACACGCAGCAUCGUUUGGUUAAGUAUUGUCUUUUAUGCAAAUAUACUCUAUCAACUCACAUAGAACAGUAUAUUUUUAGUUUCCUUAAUUUAAAGCCCGUUUUAUUACAUGAAAUGAAUGCUUGUAUUUUUAUUUUAUUUAAAAAGUGAUACUUUUUAUGUUGAAAUCGAUUAGGCGGUGAUCGUGGAACGAAACGUUACCACAAUUGACAUUCAAAUACAUUGUUGACAGAGCGUCCCGCGCGCAACAAUUUGAAUUGUUUUAUUAAGUUUAUUUAUUAAAGAUUAGUAAGAAUGGAAGAUAAUAAAAAGAAACGCGGUUUAAAUUACACAGCAUCUGAAAAGGAAUUGCUGUUAGAUAUAAUCAAGAGGUGAGUAAACAAUGAAAUCUAAACAUGAUUGAACAAUGUUGCGAUCUUGUAAUUAUAUUAAUUGCUAAACACACUUUUGGCAGGUGUUUUAAUUGUUCUUGGCCCAUACCAAGAGUAAAUAAAACAUAAGUCACAACUUAUGCGUACAUUUCUGUACUUAAAUUUCUUAUUGACAACCUUUAUUUUCAGUUAUCAGCAUAUUAUAGAAAAUAAAGAAACAAAUGCGCAAAUGAUAAUUAAAAAGCGCGAAGCUUGGGAUUGUAUUUGUGAAAAAUAUAAUGCUGUUGCUAUGAGUGGCUGUAGGACAUGGCAACAACUACGCCACCUCUAUGAAAAUCUCAAACAGAGGUCUAAGAAAAAUAUUGCCAAAGCCAAUCGUCUUCAGUUUUAUGAAAAAACUAGAGAAAUUCAAAAGAAGGCAUCUCUUGACAAGGAGAUACAGAAAACCAAAAUACAUGUGACCAAACAGAAGAGAACAUGUCAUCUAAUGUUAUAAUAAUGAACACUGAUCUUGGUAAUUAGUUAAUUAUUAUACUUCUUAAAGUUUGCUUCAUGACAUAAUAAGUUUUAUUUUAUUGUAGAUCAUGACUAUGAAACGACCACGGCCAAAACAAAUUGUGUCGAAGAAGAUAAUAAUAAUAUUAGUGAACUUUGCACAGUU